rnacentral:rRNA from 1 species
CGCGUAGGCGGCCCGCUAAGUCGAACGUGAAAUCCCCGAGCUCAACUCGGGAACUGCGUCCGAGACUGGCGGGCUUGAAUCCGGGAGAGGGAUGCGGAAUUCCAGGUGUAGCGGUGAAAUGCGUAGAUAUCUGGAGGAACACCGGUGGCGAAGGCGGCAUCCUGGACCGGUAUUGACGCUGAGGCGCGAAAGCUAGGGGAGCAAACG